AAGCAGCGCCGCGCGCAUUUACUGUGUGCAAAGUGCAUAUGCACUUCGGCAAUAAUCUAUUUGUUAGCAUCUGCUUCAUAAAGACAGUAAAGAGAAGCAUUCAAGAAAACGUGUGCUCUCCGAAACACUUGCUUUAUUAGAAUUGCCGAGUCUGGAAGGCUUCAGAGCAAUUCUUCGUAUCGAUUCAGCGGGAAGACAGGCCAACAUGCUGCACGGAAAGCCAUUCCUGCCACGGCGACGAGAAGUCGCCCGCGACUGCGACUGGGCGGCGGUGCUGUUCGGCGCCUUCGUCGUUAUGUCAACGCUUCUACCGGCCAUCCAAUGCACGUGCGACCGAGCAAUGUGCACGCAGGAGUGCCAGAAGGCCGCCUGGGAUUACGGCGAGUGCUGCAUACCGGGGGGCGCCAGUGUGCUGCCUGUGUGCAAGUGCUUCCGCCACCCUAAGCGUAGCGUUGGUAGAGGAAGAGGUGACGAGGGAGAAUUCAGCGGGAAGACAGGCCAACAUGCUGCACGGAAAGCCAUUCCUGCCACGGCGACGAGAAGUCGCCCGCGACUGCGACUGGGCGGCGCUGCUGUUCGGCGCCUUCGUCGUCAUGGCAACGCUUCUACCGGCCAUCCAAUGCACGUGCGACCGAGCAAUGUGCACGCAGGAGUGCCAGAAGGCCGCUGGGGAGCACAGUGUGUGCAAGUGCUUCGGCCUAAACAAGUGUAGAGUUGGUGAAGGAGGAGAUGACGAGGGAGAGUGGGUACCGCUAGGGCGCCUCCCUAUUACUGAUGGUGUAUGUCACAAGCGCCCCAAGUAUUGAAAUAGCUGAAAACAAGUACAGGUCACCUUGUGCUUUGUCGCAUACCUGAUGGCUUUAUGAAGAUGAUGCGUUAAUAUUAAGUUUACAGAAAGCGCUCGCUAAGUGCAUGACUUGUGUAAAUCACGAUGUACACAUUCAUGCAAUAAAGGAGGACACGAA